rnacentral:misc_RNA from 1 species
GUGGGAGCCGGGCUUGCCCGCGAUGGCGAUGUGUCAUUCAACAGUGAUGUUGCCUGAUGUAUCGCCAUCGCGGGCAAGCCCGGCUCCCAC